rnacentral:misc_RNA from 1 species
GCAAACUUGGUCAUUUAGAGGAAGUAAAAGUCGUAACAAGGUCUCCGUUGGUGAACCAGCGGAGGGAUCAUUACCGAGUUUUGCAACUCCCAAAACCCACUGUGCACCUGUACCCUGAACUGUUGCUUCGGCGGGCCGUCGUCGCCCGCCGGGGGACCCAAGCUCCUGUAUUUUCUGGUUUUUGCGUGUCUGAGUCGUGGGGAAGCCCACAAGAAAUCAAAUUAAAACUUUCAACAACGGAUCUCUUGGUUCUGGCAUCGAUGAAGAACGCAGC